GUGGGGAAUAUUGGACAAUGGGCGCAAGCCUGAUCCAGCAAUGCCGCGUGUGUGAAGAAGGCCUUCGGGUUGUAAAGCACUUUUGGCAGGAAAGAAAUAGUGCGUGCUAAUACCAUGCGCGAAUGACGGUACCUGCAGAAUAAGCACCGGCUAACUACGUGCCAGCAGCCGCGGUAAGACGUAGGGUGCAAGCGUUAAUCGGAAUUACUGGGCGUAAAGCGUGCGCAGGCGGUUUUGUAAGACAGGUGUGAAAUCCCCGGGCUCAACCUGGGAACUGCACUUGUGACUGCAAGGCUAGAGUGUGUCAGAGGGAGGUGGAAUUCCGCGUGUAGCAGUGAAAUGCGUAGAGAUGCGGAGGAACACCGAUGGCGAAGGCAGCCUCCUGGGAUAACACUGACGCUCAGGCACGAAAGCGUGGGGAGCAAACAGGAUUAGAUACCCUAGUAGUCC
rnacentral:rRNA from 1 species